rnacentral:rRNA from 1 species
UACGUAGGUGGCAAGCGUUGUCCGGAUUUAUUGGGUUUAAAGGGUGCGUAGGCGGCCCUGUAAUUCAGUGGUGAAAUACUCCAGCUUAACUGGAGGGGUGCCAUUGAUACUGCAGGGCUUGAGUGGAGUCGAAGUAGGCGGAAUUGACGGUGUAGCGGUGAAAUGCUUAGAUAUCGUCAAGAACACCGAUAGUGAAGACAGCUUACUAGGCUUCUACUGACGCUGAGGCACGAAAGUGUGGGGAUCAAACAGG